GACCUGCUUCUGGGUCGGGGUUUCGUACGUAGCAGA
rnacentral:piRNA from 1 species